AGCUUGCGGCCGUGAUUUUUGCACUAAAGAUUUGGCGACACUAUUUGUAUGGCGAUAAAUGUGAGAUAUUUACUGAUCACAAAAGUCUGAAGUAUAUUUUUACCCAGAGGGAGCUUAACAUGAGGCAGAGGCGAUGGAUUGAGCUAUUGAAGGAUUAUGAUGUGAGUAUUCAGUAUCAUCCGGGGAAAGCUAAUAAGGUAGCAGAUGCCUUGAGUCGGAAGAACUUUGGGAAUUUGGCAGCAUUGAUGACACAACAGAGACCUCUUCAACGCGAUAUUGAGAAGUUUGGCUUGGAGUUUUAUCAUCAUGAUGUUGUUGGUAUGGUGGCAAGUAUGCACGUGGAGCCUAGUCUUAUCUCGAGGAUUAAGGCAGCUCAGGAUGGUGAUGGAGAGUUGUGGUACCUUAUACAGAGCAUGGAAGCUGGAAAGCAACCCGAACUUCGCAUUGAUGAUCAGGGUAUUGUUUGGAUGGGUAACCGAUUAUGUGUGCCCGAUAACAAGAGCCUAGUCUUAUCUCGAGGAUUAAGGCAGCUCAGGAUGGUGAUGGAGGGUUGUGGUACCUUAUACAGAGCAUGGAAGCUGGAAAGCAACCCGAACUUCGCAUUGAUGAUCAGGGUAUUGUUUGGAUGGGUAACCGAUUAUGUGUGCCCGAUAACAAGGAACUUAGGGAGGAAGUGAUGGAGGAAGCUCAUCGGUCACCAUUUUCAAUUCAUCCAGGUGGAACAAAGAUGUAUCAUGACUUAAAGGAACAUUUUUGGUGGAUUGGUAUGAAACGUGAUAUAGCCGAGUUUGUUUCAAAGUGUUUGACUUGUCAGCAGGUGAAGAUAGAGCAUCAGAG
rnacentral:lncRNA from 1 species